rnacentral:rRNA from 1 species
CCGGUUGAUCCUGCCAGAGGUUACUGCUAUCGAGAUUCGACUAAGCCAUGCGAGUUGAAUGUUCUUCGUGAACAUGGCGGACUGCUCAGUAACACGUGGACAACCUACCCUUGGGUCCGGCAUAAUCCUGGGAAACUGGGAAUAAUUCCGGAUAGGUCACCGAUGCUGGAAUGCGCGGUGGCCGAAAGCUCCGGCGCCCGAGGAUGGGUCUGCGGCCUAUCAGGGUUGUAGUGGGUGUAACGUACCUACUAGCCUACGACGGGUACGGGUUGUGAGAGCAAGAGCCCGGAGAUGGAUUCUGAGACACGAAUCCAGGCCCUACGGGGUGCAGCAGGCGCGAAAACUUUACAAUGCGGGAAACCGUGAUAAGGGGAUCUCGAGUGCCAGCAUAUAAUGUUGGCUGUCCAGAUGCCUAAAAAGCAUCUGUUAGCAAGGGCCGGGCAAGACCGGUGCCAGCCGCCGCGGUAACACCGGCGGCCCGAGUGGUAACCGCUAUUAUUGGGUCUAAAGGGUCUGUAGCCGGCCAGGUAAGUCCCUUGGGAAAUCUGGCAGCUCAACUGUCAGGCUGCUAGGGGAUACUGUUUGGCUUGGGACCGGGAGAAGGUGAGAGGUACCUUGGGGGUAGGGGUGAAAUCUUGUGAUCCUCGAGGGACCACCAGUGGCGAAGGCGUCUCACCAGAACGGGUCCGACGGUAAGGGACGAAAGCUAGGGGCACGAACCGGAUUAGAUACCCGGGUAGUCCUAGCCGUAAACGAUGCUCGCUAGGUGUCAGUCACGGUGCGACCGUGAUUGGUGCCGUAGGGAAGCCGUGAAGCGAGCCACCUGGGAAGUAUGGCCGCAAGGCUGAAACUUAAAGGAAUUGGCGGGGGAGCACUACAACGGGUGGAGCCUGCGGUUUAAUUGGAUUCAACGCCGGAAAUCUCACCGGGGGCGACAGCGAUAUGAAGGUCAGGCUGAAGACUUUACCGGAUUAGCUGAGAGGUGGUGCAUGGCCGUCGCCAGUUCGUACUGUGAAGCAUCCUGUUAAGUCAGGUAACGAGCGAGACCCA